CAUCCCCUCUCACAUCUUUCAGUUCUGAUUUAGAGGAAACCUGUUUGUCCAAGAGUCAUCCAUCUCCAGACUGUGACAUCAGAAAUGGGAAUUUAUCUCUCAAUUGCUCAUUUCCAUUGCAUAGUAUCCUAUAUUAUGGAUGGAUAUGCCCCAGAACAUAGUUUCCAUCCUGACAUUUGGCUACAGUUAUUGCCACCAAUCUCAAGCAGAGGAAAGGCAUUCCCUGAAGUAAUGUGUCACGGUGCAAGUGUUGGCUCAAAGGAAAUUUUUCUUUAAUUAAUAUU